rnacentral:rRNA from 1 species
UACAGAGGGUGCAAGCGUUUAAUCGGAAUUACUGGGCGUAAAGCGUGCGUAGACGGUCAUGUAAGUCGGGUGUGAAAGCCCCGGGCUCAACCUGGGAAUUGCAUUCGAGACUGCAUGGCUAGGAUGCGGAAGAGGGAAGCGGAAUUUCCGGUGUGGCGGUGAAAUGCGUAGAUAUCGGAAGGAACACCAGUGGCGAAAGCGGGUUGCUGGGCUGACACUGACGCUGAGGCGCGAAAGCUAGGGGAGCGAACGGG